AACGCAGUUUGCGUACAUGUCAAAAAGCUCGCUGUUGAGAGAUCGCACAAAAUGUACCUGUCAGCCGUGGUCAGCUAACUUCAUGCGAAUGAAAAAUUCUUUCCUUUUUGACGAAGUCAGCGGAGGAUAAGGUUCUGAUUCGGAAAACGCCCAGCAAACAAGAAACAGAAGUUGGCGAAGGGAAGCUGCGCGGCCUCAGUGGUACAUUUGACAGCGGUGGAAUGCGUCGCAUCUUGGUGAUAUUCCAUCGAAGCCAGGUUUCCAGAAAAUUGGAUGUUCUACACGUAUGUAUUGUGGAUGUCGAUGCAAUUGAAAUCUAGAGCAGUUCCCAUACUCGUAGCGGGUGCAUCCGCCAGAUUCCUGUAUAUUCAUAUAAGCGAAGUAAAAGACAGCACGUGUGUGUGUAUAACCCCUCUCAAGGUUAGAGGCCUGCGUAAGCCAAUUGCAUUUAAGCAAGUUCAUGCAGUAUAAAUUAGUAUUUUUUAUGAAUUUGGUAUAAUAAUUUUAUAAGGGUUGCAAUCAAGGGGAAUUUGCGAAUUCUAUGCCACUACUGGACUUUAUGAAUUUGAAGCGUUAUGACAAGGUUUAACGAAAUUAAUGAAUUCAUCACACACGAUUUUUAAGGCAAUUUAUAUUCACUCAAAGAAACAAAAAAUACAUAGUUUUGUACAUAGACUUACAUGCAAAGUAAA